rnacentral:rRNA from 1 species
GAUGAACGCUGGCGGCGUGCCUAAUACAUGCAAGUCGAGCGAACAGAUGAGUAUCUUGCUCCUCUGACGUUAGCGGCGGACGGGUGAGUAACACGUGGAGAACCUACCUAUAAGACUGGGAUAACUUCGGGAAACCGGAGCUAAUACCGGAUAAUAUAUUGAACCGCAUGGUUCAAUAGUGACAGACGGUUUUGCUGUCAAUGAUAGAUGUUACCGCGCCGCGUUAGAUAGGUGGUAAGGGAACGACUUACCAAGGCAACGAUGCGUAGCCGACCAGAGAGAGGGAUCGGACACGCUGGGACUGGAACACGGUCCAGACUCCGACGGGGAGCAGCAGUAGGGAAUCAUCGGAAGUGGGCGAAAGCCUGACGGCGCAACGCGGCGUGGGUGAUGAAGGCCUUCGGAUCGGGAAACUGUGUUAUUAGGGAAGAACAAAUGUGUAAGUAACUGUGGAAGUAUUGACGGUACCUGAUCAGAAAGCCACGGCUAACUACGUG